rnacentral:lncRNA from 1 species
UUUUUUUUUUUUUUUUUUUUUUUGUAUUUAAAAACUUGGUUGUGCUUGUCACGACAUUGUAAGUAUUUAAUAUGCAGGCUGUGUGUUGGCUCUGGAGCAUACAUCAUACAUCAGCCUAUUGUCACAGUAAAAAACAGCUGUUUGUGAGAUGCUGUAACAAUUCUGCCAACACUCAGUAACUAGCUUUGGAUAAAGCAAAGUCAAACAAAAGGAGUGUGAACUAUGACAAGCAAUGUGUGGAGUGGUAAUUCAGAAGGGCUGAAGGAGAUGUGAAAAGUAAUUAGCCAAAUAAACAAAAACGGGACUAAUUAUUUAAGUGCAUCAUGACUUGGAAUCAAAGAACAGAGGGAGUACAUGAAGACUGGGAAAAUAUUGGAGUGAGCUAAAGUUGAGAUUCCCGCACUUGUCCCACAGAAAAAAAAUCAUGUAGGAGAUAUGUGCAUCACUGAAUUUCAGUUAAAGAAAUGAAAGGGGGGAAAAAUAGAGGUGAAGAAAAUCCAGAAGACAGUGACUGAACCACUAUUUCUCUCAGUAGGAGAAAGGGAAGGAACGGACCAGCUGCCCACUUAGGGCACAGCAGCAACAGACGACAGCAAAGAUCUGAGUUCUGUGCUUUUGGGGCUAUGGCAAAUGCUCUUCUAAUGGAGAGUUUUCAAUUGCAGUAUGAAGCCAGAUCAAUUCCCUCCAUUGCUUUAUUUUGUACUUGGUUUGCUCAUCUGCAGCAGUAGAACUGGGGGCAGUUAAACAGGAUGGAAUUUGUACCAGGCUUAGAAAUUGUCCUUGCUGCCUACGGUUUCCCUGCAGAACAGCUUCAGAUUACACCGCACUUGUGUGAAGUUGCAGAGAUCCAACCAGCCCAGAGCGCAUCGUGGGAGCUGCGCCGCUGUCAUCUGACUGCCACAUGCCCCAGCCCAGAACGUUCCCUCAGUGCACAGGCACCCUCAGAUCAACAAAAGCUUUUGCCUGGCUGAGGGUUUUCAGGACCAGCUCCCCAGACAAGUAGGAUGGCCUGUCUGCACCAUUAGCUAACAACCAUCUUUUAUCUAUUCUUCAUGUGUUUAUCACCACAGGAUUCCAACACCACUAGCACCACAUUUCAUUCAUCUGCUGCAGAUUGAAAUGAGCAUUCAGCUGAAGUUUUUAUUUGUAGAUUUUCAAGACUUGCUUUUAGUUUUGUCGAUUUUUGCAGUUCCUUCAAUAGCGAUUGCUUAAGGGUUUUCACACUACGAUCCUGACAGGUGACUUAACUCUGUAUAAAAUAUGUCUACCUCUGUUCAUUUGAACUGCUCACAUCGAGGCGAAGGAAGACAUAUAUCCUUCUUUCAAAAUUCAAAUAGUAUUCAUUGAGAUUACAGAAAAUUACUUGUGGCCUCAGAGAAGAAGAAAAAAAAAUCCAGAUUUUAGAUGGCUUUUAUAUUUCUUUGUGCUUCCUUUAGGUGAGCAAUGAUGUAGCUCUGUCUAUUUUCACACAGAAGGAAUCCAGCUGAGAGCAUGUUUUAUUAUAGCUCCAGAUGAUGUUCAAGGGGAUGAAAAACUCAUUUUUCUCAGGUGGUCAGAGAACAAUUCCCAGUAAACUGACAUUCUUUCCUCUCUCAUCUGAAUUCUGCAGAGGAAUUCAAGUUGUUUAUAAGCCAUUUGAAAGAUGUUUAAAAAAAAAAAAAAAAAGGAUGGUCUUGGACUUUUUUACAUUUUCAAUUACUUUUAAAUCUCUUAAGAACAGUCAUUUAGGUCAGAGUAGUUAAACUACUAUAAAACAGCUGCUAAAGCAGUCUUCUAUUGUAAAUUAAAUGGCAAUUUUACCAAACAUUCACAUUGUACGACUAUGUUAGAAAAAACACAAAUCUGGAUUUUAAAAAACACUUAGGAGGGGGAGGGCUAGGCCUAAGGUAGUGAUUCAUGACUUCAUGAUAAUUCGAGUCCAUGGCAAAAAAUUUAACAGAUUUUAUUACUAGUUGGUCAUGCCUGAUAUUAAAAAAAAAUACAAAAAUAAGGAGAGGUGGUCCAAACUGGAGCCCCACACUUCAGAGGGAAAGCCAAGUUUCUGCUCUUGCUGUCGGUCAGGUCUUGCUAUCACAGACAUAGCUAAAGCUUCUGAAAUGGCAGCUUCUUAAAACAUUAUCAUCCAAACAGUUCAUUUUCUUCAGUUUAACCAAGGGAAUUAUCACAGGGAUAUGAGUUAUAGUCAGCUACACAUUGAUGGCACUGACGAACGGUAACAGCACGUAACACUCAUAGCAGCUUUCAACCUCAAAGCAUUAUGAACAUCACCCCUGGGACAUCCUGAGGAGCUGCAAGUCCUCGCUGUGCCAGAGCCAGCAAGGCAAAGUGGGUGCACUGAUGGGAAGUGGACAUGGGAUGGAGGCAGGGACAGGAAUCUGUAGUGUCUCAAGCCUGGCGGCACAUGCUCUGGGUGUGGUACCUCUGUCCAAGGUAGGGUGGGGUCUUGACACAUGCAAUUAAGAGCAGAGCCAUUUCAGUUCCACCCACUAGCUGGGACAGCAUACAAGCAGCACUGGCUCAAGGCCCACUCUCCUUGAAUCCUCUUCAGCUUCCCACUGCCAAAUUUCCCUGUCUCUUGUGUGCUCCAAGACCUCAUAGUCUUCAUAGAUAAGCCGGUAUAGGGUUUCCUCUGGAGUGAGUGAAAGCAAGGAAGUUUCAUAUUGUUAAACUGCUUAUAAAUUGCUUAAAUUAUCCUUCUUUCCAUUUCCAUAAAAUAAAAAUAUCUGUAUGAAUCACAAUCCAGUGCUUGGCUGGCAUGAGCAGCACUGUCACAGUGUCACUAAUGCAAUCACCUGCCCCAGAGCAGGAGGCAGAGCCCCAUGACCAAACUUGGGGACAGCUACAGCAAGGAUGUUACCCAUGAAAGGAGAUGGGGAACUUGAAGCUUUCUUAACAUCCAUUUCCCAAAGCAGGUAAGGGCUGCAACACCAGCAUGUUACUGAUUCUUCAAACCUCCCUUUCUGUCUCAUGUUCUGCAUGGCUGCAGGUUAUGUUUCCAACACAGAGCAUGAGCCAUUCCCCAAUUCGAGAAAGAUUUUCCUACCAUUCCCUCAUUUGAAGCACUGUUGGAGAAGAAAGCAGGGAAGUCAUUUUCUUGCUUCUGCUUUGCUUUCAGGAAACAGCAGAGCUGUUUGGAGCACAGGUGAUGAAUAUCUGAUUCUCACUGCAAUGGAAAUCAGAUGUGUGCUGCUGGCCUGGAUGGAAAUCAGUACCAUAAAGGUGGCAUUAGUGAGCACGGGAGCUGCCCACCAGCCCCUAAAGAUGCUUUACAGAGGCAAGUCUUGUGAAAGCAGACAGAUGUAAUUUUGAUUACAUUUUGGUUUACUAUGCUUGCAAGUGUGUACAUAUGUGUAUAUAGGCAUGACUUACAUAAAGACCUGGGCAGACUACAAAUGGGAGCUGUUAUUUCCAAAUUUUACACAUUACUUGAGUCACAAAACAUUAACUGCACCCAACCCAGUGAACUCCCUUUCCUCUUUGUUCAUAUUCACUCCAGUAUAUCCAUAAUUUUUGAUUCUCUGCUGAUUUCCAUUGCUGGGGCUUAUUUUCUGUGACUUGAGAACCUGAAAUUAUACUAUAUAUCUUUGUAGUUCAUUGAACUAACCAGCAUUUAUUUUAAUUUAGUAAGGAAACAUUUGGCUGGGUGUGACCAAAUAAAUACUGUGUCUAAACCAACACAAAUAUAGUUUGCACAAGGCUAUAAACCUGUCUCCGAGCUCUAAUGAUAUUGCAAGUCAAUGAAGCUUCAGUGUUCUCAUUAACAUGAUUCCAUCAGACCUCUAUGUUGCAUAUUAUUAAUUUUUAACAAUAGAUUGUAAUAUAAUUUAUAGCACUGUGGGGCAACAAAGACUGGAUCCUGAUAGCAAUCCAACCUUUUAGGUUGAUAAUGGCUUUAACACUGACCUAACAUUGAAAGGUGAACGUGUUCAGAGGGCAUCAGACCUAAUUAUAAAUAGGACAGCAGGGAUAAAACACAUCACCAGUCUGCAUCAGUGAAGACAAAACUUUCCUUGAGAGCAAGGGGCACAGAUCUUGUCAUAAGAUUAUGAAGAGUUCUGCUGCUAAAUUGACACAAACAAGUAAUCAAAAGCUUUGUUUUAAAGAUAUACAUUAAAACACUUUUUUCACCUCUUGAAGUUUAAUUUUUGUUACAAAAGGAAUAAAAUACAGAAAAGCCAAUGUUAAUCUGAGUACCUAUAAUUUAAUUCAGUUUGGAAGUUGGAACAAGCAUAUAUUUAUGAAGAAAAAGCAAGCCUUCAAAAUUUCCGUGGAAAUACGCUAAACGGGUGACAUGAGUAGCCUUGCAUUGUUCCUCUCCAUGGUUUGCUGAUGCAUGAGAGUGAACACAACUGGUUUCUGCUACAGACAGCA